rnacentral:misc_RNA from 1 species
UGCAUUUAUUUUUGUUCUAACAGUAUUGAUACAGGAGGCCAGCGGUAAAAUAUCAGAGGGCCCACUCCAAUUCCUCGAAGUUGUACCAAAAGUGAGGAGCAUGAUAAAAAAAUCCAAAUUUUUACAAUUCCAUAGGCAAUACCCCUAAAUUAAUGACCCAUGACCCAUCACAAAGUAAUGAUUAUACAGCAAAUGUCUACAAGUGUGAGUAACAUUUCUGUGCAGCUUGUUGAACUUGCAGCUCUCUUCUUAAAAAUGAUUUGGGUCUCCACUCUCCACGUCAGAAAUUUUGGCCAGAUUUUUUUGCUUCAAUCAUCAAGUAUUUAAUACAUCAAUUGGACAAGUAACCAACUUUCUGGCCUAAAAUGAACACAAUGCAAUGAUCCAUCAAUGUGUCCUCCACUGAAUUUAUACUUGACCGGAGCAGAUGACCUACCUCAUGUUAGGAUACUUUAACUUUAAGCAUGUCUUCUUAACAGCUCCUCGCCCCCAAAAAUAAUUAAUUGUUUUCAUUUGGCACUCCGGUA